UCCCUCGUGGCUCAGAGGUUAAAGCAUCUGCCUGGAAUGUGGGAGGCCCAGGUUCGAUCCCUGGGUUGGGAA
rfam:TPA: Bos taurus chromosome 11, whole genome shotgun sequence.